GGGGAAUUAGCUCAAAUGGUAGAGCGCUCGCUUAGCAUGCGAGAGGUACCGGGAUCGAUGCCCGGAUUCUCCA
rfam:Amphimedon queenslandica AMPQTscaffold_13185_Cont6490, whole genome shotgun sequence.